GUGGGGAAUUUUGGACAAUGGGCGCAAGCCUGAUCCAGCAAUGCCGCGUGCAGGAAGAAGGCCUUCGGGUUGUAAACUGCUUUUGUCAGGGAAGAAAUCUUCUGGGCUAAUACCCCGGGAGGAUGACGGUACCUGAAGAAUAAGCACCGGCUAACUACGUGCCAGCAGCCGCGGUAAUACGUAGGGUGCGAGCGUUAAUCGGAAUUACUGGGCGUAAAGCGUGCGCAGGCGGCUUUGCAAGACAGAUGUGAAAUCCCCGGGCUCAACCUGGGAACUGCAUUUGUGACUGCAAGGCUAGAGGACGGCAGAGGGGGAUGGAAUUCCGCGUGUAGCAGUGAAAUGCGUAGAUAUGCGGAGGAACACCAAUGGCGAAGGCAAUCCCCUGGGCCUGUACUGACGCUCAUGCACGAAAGCGUGGGGAGCAAACAGGAUUAGAAACCCUGGUAGUCC
rnacentral:rRNA from 1 species